GGGAGAUGAGGAAGAACAUUUGGUCCGUGUUUCUGAUCACCCCUUGAUGCAAGAAACAAAUUGCACUCACUUCUGAUCCC
rfam:Brachypodium distachyon strain Bd21 chromosome 1, whole genome shotgun sequence.